UCUUGAUGUUGAGUCAUGAUUUAGAUAUUUGUUGGAUAUCGUUUCUACAGCCGGAACACCAAACCGUUCCGGUUCCACUACUUCAAGGACGAUGAGAAGGAAGAAGCUGCAGCUUCAAACAGCAGCAGCUGCAUCUGUAACCCAGUUUAUGAAUCAGUUCUUGAACCAGCUGGACCAGAACCAACCAGAACUGAUGUACCCGACCCUGCAGUGGAGGACAGAAGAUCAAACAACCUGCUGCAGAUCAGCUGAGCUGUUGGACCAGAACCUCUCAGAACCAGACACUUUCUGAUUCUACUCAGUUUAUUUUAUUUUUAAUUGGAGAACUGAAGGACAGCAACACCUUUUUAUUGACUGAAAACCUGAAAGAAGAGAUUGUUUCAAACUAAAUGUUGACAGAUAAAUGAGAAUAAAGAGUUGAUUUAAAA